GACAGAGGGUGCAAACGUUGUUCGGAAUUACUGGGCGUAAAGCGUGUGUAGGCGGCCAUGCAAGUCGGAUGUGAAAGCCCCGGGCUCAACCCGGGAAGUGCACUCGAAACUGCGUGGCUUGAGUAUCGGAGAGGUUGGUGGAAUUCUCGGUGUAGAGGUGAAAUUCGUAGAUAUCGAGAGGAACACCGGUGGCGAAGGCGGCCAACUGGACGAAUACUGACGCUGAGACACGAAAGCGUGGGGAGCAAACAGG
rnacentral:rRNA from 1 species